GUUUCCCUGCAGCCACGGCAGUUUCCUGAGCAGCAUCAGCCCCUCCCCUUCCUCCCUGUUGCUCCUGCAUGCGCUGCCUCUCUGGUGACACAGGUGGGACACACAACGCUUAAGGAGCAAGGAUCCAAUCCUAUUGCUGCAUUGUGGAGCAGCUACAGGAUCAACAGAGGGAUGGGUUUCACCUUUAUUGUUAAUCUGUACAUUUUAUUAACACAACUGCUUGUUACUCUGCUCUCUUUAAAGAGUACCUGCUUAGUUCCUGGCACAAUACAAAUGCUUACAAGCUGGUCAUAGAUGUGUGUAUGAAACAGCAGCAUUGAAUUACCUGUCAUCCUGUACAGCAGGGAUGAAAGGGGAAGUUAUUUACAUAAAUUAUUGGAGAGCAGUAAAUAUUAUUUCAUGAUAUCACAUCAAGAUUAAGUUAAUCAAACUUGAUAUUAAGAGGCAGAAGGAUUUGUUCUUAGUCAAAGACACAGUUAAAGAAGGUGCUUGAGGGUAAGGGAGAGAGCCUACUUAGGAAGAUUUUUAUCACAGAAUGGGCAAUGCCUUGGAGGCUCAUAACUAAGGUUUUAAAUCAGUUAUGAUUUUACAGUUUUUACAGAAAAUGCUAUUUUUACCAGAUUUGGAUGAUUCUGCACAUUUGUUCUAUUCCUCCAUAGUUCCACAGAGCAGAGGUUUUUACUCACUGAACUCUACCCCCAAUGUCAGUUCAGCUGUGAGUGUUAGGUGUAUUUGGUGAGAGCUCCCUUCUUCUAAUCAAAGUUUAUAAUUAGAUUUGAAUAUGUUUUCUUUACAUUUUUAAUUCUGCUAGAAUUUUUGCUCAAGUUUAUCAGUGCCGGAAUCUGCUUUUAAUUAAUGUAAAAUCGCAAAUACAAGUUAUGUUGCUUAUUAGUUAAAAAUUAAUUUGUCUGUUUGCCACAACAAGCCCAAUUCCUUGAGGCUCUGAGUGUCUCCACAGAAGUAUCAAGCGCCUGCAACUCUCACUGAAAACAAAAGACUCUUCAAAAGGAGCUGCAGGCAUACAUCAACUAGCAGGAUUGGGCCUAUUGUUUGUAUUUCCUCUGAAGUUAGUUGGAAAGUGGGGUUUUUUUCACAGAAUUUUUCAACCUUUCAUUGAAAAAUGAUGACAGAAUAAUUUUAACCUGGAAAUUUCCAAAAAUGAUUAAAUGUUAGCCAAAAACUGGAAAAAA